rnacentral:tRNA from 1 species
GUCUGGGUGGCUCAGUUGUUUGGAGUGGUUGUCCCUUAAAGCAAAAGGUUGUGAGUUAGAUUCUCAUUCAGGGCA